rnacentral:rRNA from 1 species
UACAGAGGUCCCAAGCGUUGUUCGGAUUCACUGGGCGUAAAGGGUGCGUAGGUGGUCGGGUAAGUCUGAUGUGAAAUCCCGCAGCUCAACUGCGGAAUGGCAUUGGAUACUAUUUGGCUAGAGGGUUGGAGGGGGACUGGAAUUCUCGGUGUAGCAGUGAAAUGCGUAGAUAUCGAGAGGAACACCAGUGGCGAAGGCGAGUCCCUGGACAACUCCUGACGCUGAGGCACGAAAGCUAGGGGAGCAAACAGG